GGGGCGGCCCGGAAGCCGCCGGGCCUGCUGGCAGCCGGUGGGGGCCCGGCAGGCUGCGCUCAGGCCGUGUGUGAUGAGGGAGAGAGGGCGGGCGUCUGGCGGCGGUGCCGUGUUGUGGUGCCGUGCGCCUUGGUAACCCUGCCUGGGCUGGGGUUAGCCGUGCUGUGGGUGCCGGCUCGUUUCGGUUUCCUGACUGGUUGGUAACCAUUUUUUCCCUCUGGAUUUGUGUGUGUUCCUUGGCCGGUAUGCCCUCUCGUGUUUGUGCUACCUUUUGCUAAAACAACGAUAAUGCUCUGUAUUUUGGGCUUUAGACAAGCGUAUGAGGCUUUUCCUCCUUUAUUGUGUGUAUUGUGUUGGUGCUCAGCUGAUGGCCUCAGAGCGGGGCAAAAAGCAAACGAAGCUAGCUGUGGUCUUUUUCCUUUUCAGGAGUCACUUAAUAAUAUGGAUGGCACAGCACAAGCAGUAAGGAAGAGAUCUCUCUUUGUAGAGUUGCUCAGGAAUCCGCUUCUAAUGCUGUGAAGUGGUAGUUGUUGCUGUCAAGGAGCUUCAGACUUCUGCUGCUGAGGGCAUGUGGCAGGUGUGGUGCUGUGACUCGAUGAGAGAGGUAUGUACUGCCCGUGACUGCAGCUAAUCACCUGAAGUGACCUCUCCCUUCAGCACUGCAAACCAGCUGCACUGAGACUGCUACUUCAAUUUUACUGGAAAUUAGAUUAAAAUCUGCUGCUCCUGGAUUUGGUUAAUUAUAGCUGGCAGUACCUUUAAAAUACUUUCUAGAGCAUUUUGGAUGGCGAUGUGAAACAUGCAUUAUUUUCAAGGCUUAAAGCAUAAUAAAUUAAGUGAAAUGA